rnacentral:lncRNA from 1 species
GUUGCUGCAGAUUAAUUCUCACUCUCUCUGUCUAGGUUUCUCUUCAGGUUUUUGUCCAGGGUUUUGUUCCAAGGAAACCUCAGAGUGUUUUGCUUCUCUUCCUUUUUCUGUUUGUUCUCCCUCUUUUAUAACCUGAUUUUCAUGGCUUUGUGGGCUUUUGAGAGAGGUCCAAGUCUGAGAUUUUUUAUUUAUUUAUUUAUUAUUUUAUAUUAUUUUCGUUUUUCGUUUUUUUUUCCGUUUUU